AUUGAACGCUUGCGGCAGGCUUAACACAUGCAAGUCGAACGAUGAUUAUCUAGCUUGCUAGAUAUGAUUAGUGGCGGACGGGUGAGUAACAUUUAGGAAUCUGCCUAGUAGUGGGGGAUAGCUCGGGGAAACUCGAAUUAAUACCGCAUACGACCUACGGGUGAAAGGGGGCGCAAGCUCUUGCUAUUAGAUGAGCCUAAAUCAGAUUAGCUAGUUGGUGGGGUAAAGGCCCACCAAGGCGACGAUCUGUAACUGGUCUGAGAGGAUGAUCAGUCACACCGGAACUGAGACACGGUCCGGACUCCUACGGGAGGCAGCAGUGGGGAAUAUUGGACAAUGGGGGCAACCCUGAUCCAGCCAUGCCGCGUGUGUGAAGAAGGCCUUUUGGUUGUAAAGCACUUUAAGCAGGGAGGAGAGGCUAAUGGUUAAUACCCAUUAGAUUAGACGUUACCUGCAGAAUAAGCACCGGCUAACUCUGUGCCAGCAGCCGCGGUAAUACAGAGGGUGCGAGCGUUAAUCGGAAUUACUGGGCGUAAAGCGAGUGUAGGUGGCUCAUUAAGUCACAUGUGAAAUCCCCGGGCUUAACCUGGGAACUGCAUGUGAUACUGGUGGUGCUAGAAUAUGUGAGAGGGAAGUAGAAUUCCAGGUGUAGCGGUGAAAUGCGUAGAGAUCUGGAGGAAUACCGAUGGCGAAGGCAGCUUCCUGGCAUAAUAUUGACACUGAGAUUCGAAAGCGUGGGUAGCAAACAGGAUUAGAUACCCUGGUAGUCCACGCCGUAAACGAUGUCUACUAGCCGUUGGGGUCCUUGAGACUUUAGUGGCGCAGUUAACGCGAUAAGUAGACCGCCUGGGGAGUACGGCCGCAAGGUUAAGACUCAAAUGAAUUGACGGGGGCCCGCACAAGCGGUGGAGCAUGUGGUUUAAUUCGAUGCAACGCGAAGAACCUUACCUGGUCUUGACAUAGUGAGAAUCCUGCAGAGAUGCGGGAGUGCCUUCGGGAAUUCACAUACAGGUGCUGCAUGGCUGUCGUCAGCUCGUGUCGUGAGAUGUUGGGUUAAGUCCCGCAACGAGCGCAACCCUUUUCCUUAUUUGCCAGCGGGUUAAGCCGGGAACUUUAAGGAUACUGCCAGUGACAAACUGGAGGAAGGCGGGGACGACGUCAAGUCAUCAUGGCCCUUACGACCAGGGCUACACACGUGCUACAAUGGUAGGUACAGAGGGUUGCUACACAGCGAUGUGAUGCUAAUCCCAAAAAGCCUAUCGUAGUCCGGAUUGGAGUCUGCAACUCGACUCCAUGAAGUCGGAAUCGCUAGUAAUCGCGGAUCAGAAUGCCGCGGUGAAUACGUUCCCGGGCCU
rnacentral:rRNA from 1 species